AGGGUUUUUCCCUUCGUCAUCAUCAUCGCUCCAACAUGGCGUUCAAUUUUGGUGGCGCUAAGACCACGGCCAGCGUAGCGCCGCUUUUCGGCGGCUUCGGGACAACUACAACCUCGGCACCAUCCACAGGUUUCACGUUUGGUGGGUUUGGACAGACCACCACUUCAGCUCCAACGUUUGGGUUUGGAACGGCAACAACUUCUGCUCCUGCUUUUGGCACUGGCCUGGGUGCUACAGCCACCACCACAGCACCUUCUCUGUUUGGAGGAGGGCUUGGUUCCACCGCUCCAACCACAACUACCUCCAUAUUUGGAGGAGGAGCAUUCGGUACUCAGCAGCCAGCCCUAGGGGGCCUUGGGGCCACGACGUUUGGUGGAUUUGGCGCUCAGCAGCAACAGAAACCCGGUAUCUUCGCACAGCCGACCAGUGCACAGAAUAACGUCCUGUUGAACACGGCCACCGCCCUGUCCAUGCCGACGGUGUUCAACGAUGAACGAGACGCGGUCCUGGCCAGAUGGAACCAGCUGCAGGCCUUCUGGGGGACGGGGAAGGGCUACUACAACGGGACGGCCCCACCGGUGGAGUUCACGUCAGAGAACCACUUCUGCAGGUUUAAGGCUGUAGGGUACAGCUGUAUCCCCUCGGCGAGAGACGAGGAUGGUUUAGUGGCGCUGGACUUUAACAAGAAGGACCAGGAUGUGAGGAACGCGCAGCAGCAGCUGGUGGAGUCUCUACACAAGAUCCUGGGCAGUAAACCCACUCACAGUGUCAACGUGGAGACUGUCAGGCCUCUGCCAGGGGACAAGUCAGAAGUUGUCAUAUACAUCAUCGAGCGCAAUCCCAACGGCACGUCUCGGCGGAUCUCUGCCUCGGAACUCUUCAACUUCUUAAACCAGAACCACGUCAAGACGCAGCUAACCCAGCUGGGCGUGGUCAACAUGGUCGCCAAGACAACCCUCACCGCAGCACAGGUCAAACAGCUGACUGAUACCCCUCCUGCAGGCAUAGAUCCUCUGAUAUGGGAGCAGGCCAAAAAGGACAACCCUGAUCCUGAAAGACUGAUCCCAGUGCCCAUGAUCGGGUUUGGUGAACUUCACCGUCGACUGAAGCUACAGGAGUACCAGACUAAACAACACCAGGGGAGGCUGGAUGCCAUAGCAGGCAACAUCACAGGGAUCCAGGGUAACAUGUCCACCAUGCAGUCUAAGAUCCAGCAGUACAGAAGGAAGCUACAGGAGUUGUCACACAGGGUACUCGAGGUGCUGAUCCGCCAGGAGGCGUACCGAAAGAGCGGUUACGCCAUCCAGGCUGACGAGGAGCAGCUACGGGUACAGCUGGAGGCCAUACAGGUGGAGCUUAACGCCCCCAUGCAGUUCAAGGGUCGUCUGAAUGAGCUGAUGUCCCAGAUUCGGAUGCAGCAGAUGCCCAGUGGGAGGGCGGAGGACAGGUACAGCAUGGAGGCCACCAUGCAGGAGGAGCUCAGACAGCACCUGAAGCAGCAGCAGGAAGGUCUGACUCACCUCAUCAGCAUCAUCAAGGACGACAUGGAGGACCUCAAGGUCAUAGAACAGGGGCUGGCAGAGGUCACACAACACCACAGGAGAUAGCACAGAGUAGGCAAGGUCAUAGGACACAAGGUCAUAGAUCACAAGGUCAUAUAACACAAGGUCAUAGGACACAAGGUCAUAGAACACAAGGUCAUAGAACACAAGGUCAUAGCAAACAAGGUCAUAGAACACAAGGUCAUAGAACACAAGGUCAUAGAACAGGGGCUGGCAGAGGUCACACAACACCAUAGGAGAUAGCACAGAGUAGGCAAGGUCAUAGAACACAAGGUCAUAUAACACAAGGUCAUAGCAAACAAUGUCAUA